rnacentral:rRNA from 1 species
UACGAAGGGUGCAAGCGUUACUCGGAAUUACUGGGCGUAAAGCGUGCGUAGGCGGUCUGUUAAGUCUGUCGUGAAAGCCCUGGGCUCAACCUGGGAAUUGCGAUGGAUACUGGCAGGCUAGAGUACGGUAGAGGAUGGUGGAAUUCCCGGUGUAGCGGUGAAAUGCGUAGAGAUCGGGAGGAAGGCCGGUGGCGAAGGCGGCGCUCUGGAACAUUUCUGACGCUGAGGCUCGAAAGCGUGGGGAGCAAACAGG